UUGUGGAAGGUGAAGGUGCCU
rnacentral:miRNA from 1 species